rnacentral:rRNA from 1 species
UACGUAGGGUGCAAGCGUUGUCCGGAAUUAUUGGGCGUAAAGAGCUCGUAGGCGGUGUGUCGCGUCGGCCGUGAAAACCUGCAGCUUAACUGUGGCUUGCGGUCGAUACGGGCAUCACUGGAGUUCGGCAGGGAGACUGGAAUUCCGUGGUGAUAGCGGUGGAAUGCGCAGAUAGUCAGGAGGAACACCGGUGGCGAAGGCGGGUCUCUGGGCCGGUACCGA